ensembl:lncRNA
CAAAGUCCAGCUCAAAUGGGAUUGUUUACCUCAGCCUGGUAGGCUUUUGAAGGAGUGCUGGCAGAAGUGGGGGCUGUUAGCUGCUGUUAGCCAACUGAAAUAACUGAGAGCUGCAGCGGGGACCCCUGAUACAGACAACAAAAGGAGGGAGACAGGCAUCCGUGGUACUUUGGGGCUGAAAAUGAACUGCAAAUGGAAACCAUGCAUGGUAUUGUGAUUGUUUAUCAAACCAGUGGGGAGAGAGCUUUCUUCAACAAUGCUCCUAAGAGAGAAUUCUGUUUCCUUGGACAACCAGGAUCAGGCCACAGGGGAAAACAGCUAAUAUAAAGAUAUCAUGAGUCUGAAAAACAUGAGUAAUGAGAUAACACACCUGCACGUAUCCAAUAAUUAAAUAUCUUUGGAGUUCAUUUGUUGUGAAAUAGAACAUUUUUGAAAAUAGAUGUUCAUAUUUAAGUGAUCUUUUUACUAUCCAUGUAGCUAAUAAAAGCUGACCUUCUGUAACUCUGUUUGGCCUGUGUACCUCAGGCAAGCAUAGUCCCACCUACAUUUGAUCAAGCCAAAUUGUGAGAUCCUGAAAGCUUGGUUGUCUUCAUAGUCAUCUGAAGAGGUCAAAUUAUGGCAAGGGCCUUUCUGGUGGAAAAUGAGUUUCCAUUAUCGAAGGUAGGUUGAACUUCAGAACACAUUGGAGCUGGUACUCAACUGAAGAUGUAGGUACAAUUUUUGAUGACUAUGUUCUGCAGAGAAUUAUUUUCCUGAGAGAGCAUGUGCUGCUGUCCAAGGGCCAUUGGUUCCCAGUGUCUUUGCCUCUCCUGAGCUUUACAGAGAACCUAGGUCAGGUUGCACAGCCUAGACCAGAAAAUCACAGCUUUUCUUUUUAUCUGAAGGGAAGAGCUCUUUCAAGCAAAUGUGAAUUCUGUCUCCAAUGAUUGGUAUAAAAUCUUUGUUUAUAUUCGGUAAGAGUCUGCUCUUUCAUGACAAACACUUGAAUAAGAAACCAUGCUACAGUUCAAUUCCUCCAUUCUGUUUUUGUUUGUUUAUUUGUUUGUUUGUUUGUUUUUAAUGAAAACGUGAACUAUUAGGAAGGUAAAACCUCUCUCUAACCGCACUGAAUCUAAAGCCAGCACAGCAACUGGCGUGCACCUUAGAACAAAAACAAAACAAAACAAAACAACAACAAAAAGCUAAGAUUCAUCUUAAAUAUUUAUAUGUACUGAAAAUGGAUAGAGAAUCAGUAUUAUUAUCUUCUCCUGACAUUUCAAAUAUGUAAAUAUAUACUUUCAAAGAACUCUUCAAGCUGUCAUACCCUCUUUCCUUUCUUGCAAAGCACUCAACUUGGUCAGCAGCAGAUUACGUACCAAAUUAUCCCCAGUUAUCACAUUUCAUUGAUUUUGCUAUUCUUGCCUUCGAGAAUAUUGAAGGCUUGAAAAUCAGAAGUCAAUAAUGUCAGGUGAGCUAGGGAGGGCAAUGUGCCUUUUGAUGAACAAAUUCAUCAGCUGAACAAUCUCAACAUGCUCCCUAAUAUUGAUCUGAAUAUUCUGGGAUAUUUCUGCCACAUAUAGCUUUUGGCUUUAAUUUCUAUGGUAACAUUAAUUGGAUUUGGUACUUCAGGUUGUGUAACCUGGAAGACACUGUUAUCAAUGAAUUUAAAUGUGAGCUGGGGCCAUGCUGAGCAGCAUUAGUUCCCAAAGUUACCUGAGUACAGAACAGCUUGUGAGCCCAACAGUUGGUGUGUCUCUGAGCUCAUAUCAGGCUGAUUCAGGACUGUAUUAUGGCACAGGAGCCUUAAUACAAAAAGAGCAAAAAAUGUUUGUUUGCCAGUUUGGAAAGACUUUAUAAGUGUUAGUCUGCUCUGAACCCUAAAGCAUGGAGUAGAUUUUCCACGAUGUCCCAAAGUUGCAUUGUGCUAAAAGUGAGGGCUGUUUCUGAGUUUCAUUCUUGAGUCUAACACUGCUCUCACUAGGGACAUCGCAUAUCUAUGUCAUUCUGCAGUUUCCAGUUGUACUGAGUAAUGGACUUGGCAAUGAAGAGUCAUUCUGAAUUUUUAGCACUGAUGAAUUUAGAUUUUGUCUUAUCCUAAACAGGUGACCCUCUAUCUGAAUCUUUGGAGAACAUUCCCGUUCCUGACGAGUCAAAAUUAGCUGGUGGAGAUGCUUUUGUCUAUUUAUUAAACAGAGCGUGCAACGUGACGACUUAAAAUUGAGAUGUUUCAAGUGAAUUCCCAUAGUAGAUGGGAAAGCUUCAUUCUUAAGCUUGCAGGUAGUCCAUGAGUGCACAGAGGAAAAGUCACUGUAAUAUGGACAUUUUAUAUGGCACACAGGAGUUUCCCUGGACAUAAUAAUUUCCUGGGAGAUAAUCUGCAUGACAAUGGAUUGGAGUCCCUGGGAAUAUUAGCAACAACAAAGCAGAGUUCUGUAAUACAACUCAGUACUUGUAGAUACAAUGAAUACAAAGGACUGAAUGCAAUGCUAUGGUUGGCCUUUAUCCAGUCUUCUUAUUUAAGAACAGUCUGAAAUUCAACAGAUGUUCAAUCAGCCAAGAUCCAAGAUGGAAGAAAAGAAAGAAAAGAGCAAUAUAGUCAGAAAUGCGGGGUGGAAUAUGAAGGCUUGGGCAUGAUGGUGGUAACGAUUUUUAAAGAGGAUGGAAGAAACAACUCUUUCUUGGAGCCAGUCUCUCUGAGACAGUCCAGGGGGAAGUUCAGCAUUCCUUGGCAACCAGAAAACAGAUUAAUAUAGAGUUAAUAACAUUCCCAAGGUCAGCAUUCUCCUGUUGAAACAGAUUCUAAUAUAGAAGGCUACAUGCAAGCUAUUUUUGUGCCUACAAUGACUGCUGUGUUUGCCUCCACUCCCGGCAUCACUCUCAUUGUACUGUAUGUAAAGCACUUUGGGACACAUUGGCUAUGAAAGGAAGUUCAAUUUGUGAAACCAAAUUCUAUUCUACCCACAGUCACUGCACACUGAGCUGGGUCAGCUCUGCAUUCAUUGCACUUUUUUUUUCCCCCUACAGAAUUUACAGCUUCUGCCUGCCUUUUGAGUUACUGAGGAAGCAUACACAUGAUUUUAUGUCAUGCAGAUAUUAUAUCUUUAUGUGUAAAAAUAUAUGCACACUUACACAUACACACAUGUGCACACAGACGCUGAAGAAGUGACUCAUAAGGAGAAGCAAGAAACAGGGAAAAAAUUAGCUCAUGCCUUUCUUUGCUCGAAAAUUUCUAUUGCAUUUCUGCUGAAUGAUGUUCCUGUAUUAUCUACAUAAUAAGUACCCUCUUUCUUCAGAUAAUUAAAGAGACGCUGUCCAUAUCCAAUGAAAAUUAUAUAUUUAUACAUGGCAACCUUCUAUUAAUAAACAUGUGAGAUUGUUACAACUGAACAAAACCUCACAACUCGUCUUUAUUUCCCUCCACUUAGGCUCUUUAUUAUUCUUCUCCUUAUGCAUUUAGCCCUGGUGAAAGUUGCCAGAGAAACAGUUCCCGUAAAAGGGCAAGGCAAUGCAGCCUGUUGUCUCACACCUGGAGUCUCAUGAUUUGGACUGACUUCUUGGUUCUGUUCUCUGAUGUGGCUGUGGGCCACUUUGUUUGUGUUUCCUGAGCUCUAAAAUUGGAAUAGCUUUAUUUUCCCCUUACCUCUCUCUCACAGAGUCUUUCAGUGAAACACAAUAGAAAACCAUUGUCUUUUUCAAGGCUGAGUGGGAUAUCACUGUCUCCAGAGUGUGAUCCUGUAUGCCCCAUUAUGUAUGAAAAACCUACCUCUGGAUCUGAUGGUGAAUUUUGGAUUCCAGUAUUGUGGUCUACGAUGUAACAUUAGCAUCAUACAAAGUUAUAUGGUACCAGUAGAUGCAAUUAAAACCAAAGAAACAACAACAAUGAAAGAAAGAAAGAAAGAAACAAACAAAAAACCAACCAACCAGCCAAUAAACCACAAGAACCUAAAAAACACAACAGCAACAACAAGAGAACAACCAGCCAAACAAAAAACAAAACAAAACAAAACAAAACAAAAAAAUCAGUUGCACGAAUUUAAAGAAAGUCUUGAAGAAACCUAAUCAUUGGCAAAACAUCCAUCGCUAUGUCUGUGUUUUAUGGGGUUUUUUUGUUUUGUUUUUUGUUUUUUUGUUUUUUUCCUUAGCAGUGGGGUUGGAUUGAUUAAAAGAUUAAUUUAUCUUCUACUCUGACUCACUUUCUUCCUGUGUUUAAGUUAUCAUCAUUUCAAAAGCUUGUACUAUAUUCUAUUGUACCUCUGGAAAGAAUUAAACAAAACUCACGUCUCUUAAAAUAAAUCUCUAUAGAAAAUUAACUUUUUCUUUUUCAACCUAGUACACAAACACAUACAAAGAACAUUUAGCAGCCUGCCAUCUUC